UCAUGAGAUCAACAGUCAAGAUGUGUUCACACAGUGAAAAAGCGUCGUACAAAAACCUCCCUCAGUCAGACUGAACACACAGCUGCAGAGUCUGACACACUUCACUGAGGAUACACACACACACACACACACACACACACACACACACACACACACACACACACACACACACACACACACACACACUGUUACACGUCUCCCUUCGUUUUGAUCAUGAUCACUAUUCCACCAUUAAUUAAUUCAAACUCCUUAUCCACUUUAAAAAUACUCUGAAGGUCUUUCAGCAACAUUUGAAGACACUCAAAUGACCCGUUCAAGUAAAGCAGAUAUUUAUACCAAGACAUUUUAUAUAUUUGUAUUUAUUUAAUGUAAAUAUUUGGGCCUUUGGCUUGACUCCCAUCUAUCCUUUAUAACUCAUAUUGAUUCAAUCACAGAGAAAAUAUAAUAUUGUCUUUUAAAAUUGUUUUCUCGUUCAAAGAGUGUUUCUCUCUGAAGGUUCAGAGAAAAAUUGUAACACAGUUGAUUCUGACAAUACUUGACUAUGCAGAUAUAGUGUACCAAAAUACAACUGAAACAAAUCUUGGUCCUCUGUCUGCGCUUUAUAACAGUCUUUGUAGAUUCAUUCUCAGGAGCCCAUUUCAAACUCAUCCAUGUUUCAUCCAUGAGUCUCUGAACUGGCUUUCACCCAAAUCUAGAAGAAAGUUUCACUGGUUUCAGUUCAUCUUUAAAUGCAAUUAUUUUAGUUUUCCUCCUUAUUUGAACCAGUUCCUAAUAUCAUUAACGUCGCAAUAUAGACCAAGACACACAACCAAUCUACCUUUCUUUACCCCCAGAAUCACUAAAGAAAUUGGGCGUUGUGUCGUGACCCCCUUGAAAAUGAGAUGGUCCAUCUGAAGGGGCUUUCCUCCUCAAUAAAUGAAAUAAACAUUUAUAAUAAAAUCAAAACACAAAGAAUUUGUCAUGAGGCAGGGUUAAACAAAGGAAAAGGACCCAAAUAUGCAGACGAAAAAAAAAAGAUUUAUAAAAAAGAACAAAAUGAAAAGAAACAAAAAGAGAAAAAUCCAACAAAAGGGUUAGGAGGAAAAAAACAACAAGGAGACGAGGGAUUCACACAUCGAGGAUCAGGGUGAACUGACAGACAGACAAACACACAAUGAACCAACAAGAACAGAGAGACAGGGACUAUAUACACUCAC